GAACUGCGAUACGUAAUGUGAAUUGCAGAAUUCCGUGAAUCAUCAAAUCUUUGAACGCAUAUUGCGCUCCUGGGUUCUCCCAGGAGCAUACCUGUUUGAGUGUCAGUUACUAAGUUUAUCGAACGAAUUCUUUUUUUUUCGGAUUUGAGCCUUUGUCUUAAAAAUUUUCAAGAUUUUUAAGAGGCUUUAAAUAUAAACAAAAAAAGCAGGCUUGCCGCUUUUAAGCUUAUGAUUUGAUAGUGGAAAUUUCAUUUCUUUUAUUUUUUUAAGCUUAUAAGCCGUCUGAUGGCCUACUUUUCAUUUCAACGGUUAUAAAAAGGCAACUUUUUGAACACUUUGACCUCAAAUCAGGUAAGACUACCCGCUGAACUUAA
rnacentral:misc_RNA from 1 species